GAUACAAUUGGAAGCUCAUUUGAAGAUAGUCUUUCUUCUGAUGAUGAUAAACCAAUAUCAGGUAUCACAUCCACUGUUAUAAAUAGAUACUUAAUAUUAAUUGCAAAUUCAUUUAAUAUAACUAUAUUGCUUCUCCAUCACAAAAAUCUUCAGGGGUAAAAAAAAUUUGCUCUAUUGUUCUAUCCGAUGAUUCAAGAAAUGAUAGUCUGAAUUGUGUAGUGGAAUCGGCUAGAAAGAGGUGUNAUAAACCAAUAUCAGGUAUCACAUCCACGGUUAUAAAUAGAUACUUGAUAUUGCAAAUUCAUUUAAUAUAAUCAUAUUGCUUCUCCAUCACAGAAAUCUUCAGGGGUAAAAAGAAAAUUUGCUCUAUUGUUCUAUCCGAAGAGUCAAGAAAUGACAGUAUGAAUUGUGUAGUGGAAUCGGCUAAAAGAGGUGUGUCACCAAAAUUUAGAAAUUAUUUUUAAAAGAAUCUAGGUUUGACAUUGUGAUUUUUUUUUUUUUACAUAUAUAAUAACAAAAUUUUAUGUGAUGAAAAAAUGCACGCACACCCAAUAAGAAAUUUUCUAGGUUUAAUUUUCAUAUUUUAUUCAUCUAAGAAAUCGAGUUCAAUACAUAUUCUAUAUCAGGUAACAUUGGAAAAAUCAAAAGAAGAUUUGUUAGCAAAAGAAAAAAAGUUGUACACUUUGAUCUUUCUGAAGAUUCAGGUAUUCAAUUAUUAUUACAAGAUUUAGUAGAUUUUGCUAAAGAUUUUCAUGAUAUGUUUUCCACCAGAAAAUGAUAAUCAUGGCUUAGUGAAAAUGAGGAUUAUUCUUAUCACUUUGGAUAGAUCGAUGUUGGUGAAACUUUCAAUAUUCUUUUCCAUGAGUAGUGAAUUUUUGACUUUUUUAUUGCAAUGGAGAAAUUGUAUAACUAAUAUAAGAAUAAUGAUUGAUCUAACAAUAUUUAUGUUGGUUUUGUAAUGUUAGAUAAUGAUGAUACGAUUGAGAAUUUUGAUGAUGCACAUUUGGAUAAGCCUCUAUCAGGUAAUAGUUAGACAUGAUAGAUAGUAUUUUAAAUCUUCUAGAAUUUAUUAAUCGAGCAAAUGAUGAAAUAUUAUUGUGUCAUUGUUAGAAAUUUUAAAAAUACAAAAGAAAGCUAAAAACAUUAGCAUGACGUCAUAAGGUCAGGUAAACAUGAAGAUCAAAGAUCCUCAAGCAUGCACAUCUAAACAUUCUAAUUUUAAAUUGAUAUCGCUUAUGCUAAUCUAUUCAUGUUUUGAACUACCAUUAAUUUGUUACUAUUGUGUAAUUACCAUGAAAUCUAAACCAAUAGACAUAUGUACCGGUUACUUGCUUAGCUCCAACUACUUAUAAAACGUAUACAAAUAUAAUUUAUAAGCAACUUUAUUUUUAGAUGAAUUUGUGGAGAGAGUAACUGAUAGCAAACUUGUUGAAGAUUCUCAUAUGGAGUCAUGUCUACCUUUGGCAGGUAAAUUAUUCAACCAAUUAGAUAAAUUUUCGUUUCUAAUAUUCUUCGUUGUUAACAAUAUUAACUCAAUCAUUUAGGCACACUAUACCGGGAGAAACAGGACCUUGUGGCAUAAACAUCAAAGAAGACUAAAAUAACUCAAGCUAAGGACAAACAUGUAGCUAAGGGUACAAAACUGAAAAACUAGAGAAAAACUAUUGUCAUUAUAUAGACACUUAAUCUUUGAAGUGUGUUCUUGUAUGAUUGAUGGGAGUUUCUGUGCAACAUUAUCAGCAAAGAAGGCGAAGAAAAUGAAGUCUAAUAUCUUAAAAGACAAGAUACAAAGCUAGCAUAUCUGAUUCAUCCCACCAACUUACUGAAGUGGUUGUCGAGCAUAAUAAAGGUUAGUAUUCUACAUGAGGCAACGGUGUUAAUAGUUCUAAAUCAAAUCAUCAAUGAUAUAGGAUAUUAUGCAAAUACAUUAUGUUUGUCAUUAACUAAUUUUAUUAAUAUUAUCAUCAACUUUUAGGCAAAGGAGUCCCACAAACACCAACACUCAAGUCAAGGAGUGGCAGAACAAUCAAGCGAAGAAUAUUGGACUAAUGAAGUGAAAGAUUUUAUGAGACUUUGAAGCAACUUCUGUAUGUACUUUGACUUUUGCCUCUAUUACACCGCGUCGGUCACAUUCUACUAUAUUUUGAGGUUACCUUUUGCAUGUACAUUGUAUAUGCCUCGAUGUAGUUUUUAGCUUAAUGCGAUAUGUAUAUAUAACGCGUAAUGUCUAAAAGGAUAGUUAAAUAGGUUAUAUAUAAAUUGUAUUGUGUAGAUUGUUGCUCCUAGCUGUACAAAUUAAAUACUCUUUGCUGUAUUACAACUGUGACCUACAAGUCAUAGUAUAAUAUGUCUA
rnacentral:lncRNA from 1 species